CGUAUACGAACAACAGGACGAAAUGCUUGAGCAACACCUUCGGCCACUUGGAAUCCUAUCGGGUAGGGAUGAUGAGGAGUCAGGGAAACUUGAGGUGUUAAAAAUUGAUCUGCAAUGUAAAGGAGAUAGGCUCGAGUAUCCUCUAAAUUAUCAUAUGUGCAUAGAUUGUAUUUAUCUUGAAUCCCAUUAAGAUAACCCAAUACUCGCCAUAAAUAGAUAAUGUCUUCCAACUCGGAAUCGCUUAUUCCAUGAGCAAAACAAGAUGAGGUGUGAGUAAUUAACAGACCAAAGAAACCUGCUUGAGUUAAUACCAUUUGGCAUUGAGAUACCCAAAGACGUUGCGAUCCAAUGGAACGACUGGUUAAAUUAUUCAUUGUUUUGAAUAUUGAUUUAUGCAUUGCUCGUACUUUCCUCAAUGAUUUGUAUGCUUCACCGGAUUCAUCGAAGGGAUCAUUUUCAUACCUGUUGGUGAAGGAAAAAAGUCUGAUGACACUUUCAUAUCUGUAUCCAGAUAACGUUUGAACAAUUUGGAAACAGAGUCAUGGUUUCCAUUUGUUAAAAGAGGUUCCAAAAACAGUGGAAUUUGAAUUCCAAGAAUAAGGCCGGAAAAAGAAGCCCAUUUUAAACUAUUAUUGGUCAAAAGUAAUUGCAAUCUAUUAAACAGUUAGAUCUAGUAAACAAAAAAUUGGAAAUGUUUACAUCCACAAGAGUAAAACAACUGACUGUAACACAGAAAAUCUUUUCCCUGGCAGAUAAUUUGUUUACAUUUGUAACAAUUAAUUUAUACUAACCUGAUCAGAUAUUUAUCAGCAGUUUUCUGAGCUCUUUUAAAUUUUGAUUCGUCAAACCAUUCUGGAGGCACAUUCGGAUCAAUGAAAGGACAAACACCAAUUUCGAGGGAUCCUUCUUCAAUCAACUGCUGGUACCGCUUCCUAACUCGAUUAUCUAUUGUUUGAUUAUUGUUUUCCUUGUCUUUAGAUUCUUCCAUGUCGAUUACGAACAAUUACUUCUGUUGAAAGAUUCAAGGAAACAUUAGAAUUGACAAUUUUCAUGUUUAUUUCCAUAGUUAACCAAGGUCGAGUCUAACUUUUACAUUGCAUUUAAUUAAUUUACAUUUGCUACUCCAUUGCAAUAUGCUGCCAUCUAGCAUAUCAUUUUUUGUAAUGCAUUUUGAAAAAAUGAUUUGUUUCAAUUAAAAUCGAGAUAUUUGUUUCAGAAAA